UUUCAAGUCUGUUGUACACAUUCUCAAUUUUGUCACACUGUCUAUGUUAUAGACAGGAGCCUAGAAAUUGCUGUAAAUGCUUACGAGGUGUUAUGAAAAUGGAACAGAGCAUAAUAAAGGAGUGGAAAAUUUUACAUGUCUGCCAAGAUUCCACUCGUUUCUAAAAAAUCAACCUGGACCACUUCCUCAAUGAAGGCAAGACGCCUGUUGGACUCUCUGACGUCCCUGGUUACUGUUUCCUAGGCAACCAGAAGUCUGGUGAAGGGAAUACA